rnacentral:rRNA from 1 species
CACGUAGGGUGCGAGCGUUGUCCGGAAUUAUUGGGCGUAAAGAGCUCGUAGGCGGUGUGUCGCGUCGGCCGUGAAAACCUGCAGCUUAACUGUGGGCUUGCGGUCGAUACGGGCAUCACUGGAGUUCGGCAGGGGAGACUGGAAUUCCUGGUGUAGCGGUGAAAUGCGCAGAUAUCAGGAGGAACACCGGUGGCGAAGGCGGGGUCUCUGGGACGGUACUGACGCUGGAGA